rnacentral:misc_RNA from 1 species
UAGAAUAAGAUUAUAUGUAAUUGGCAGAAAAAAGAAUAAUUAUCUCUUAAUAACAUGUAGCUAAAUCUGCUAGUCUUUCUGAAUCUUAGAAACUUGCAAUUCAAUAAGAUAAAAUCUGUAGCAGAAAGAAAAAGGAUCAUCUAUCUCUUGAUAACAACGUAGCUAGAUCCGCCAGUCUUCUGAAUCUUAGAAAUUCUCCUCAGGAUUUCUGCAAAAGCCUUCUUAUCCUCAGAACCUUUCAGUCGUGAUUUAAACCUAGCAACAAGAUCCUGUGUGGUCACGGGCCCAUUUUGCAACAAAACAGCCCUGAUCUCUUCUUCAGUGAC